UACGUAGGGGGCUAGCGUUGUCCGGAUUUAUUGGGCGUAAAGAGCGCGUAGGCGGUUAGGUAAGUCCGACGUGAAAUCUGGAGGCUCAACCUCCAGCGGUCGUUGGAAACUACUUGGCUAGAGUCCGGAAGAGGAGAGUGGAAUUCCUGGUGUAGCGGUGAAAUGCGCAGAUAUCAGGAAGAACACCGAUGGCGAAAGCAGCUCUCUGGGACGGUACUGACUCUGAGGCGCGAAAGCGUGUGGAGCGAACAGG
rnacentral:rRNA from 1 species